GCCGGGCAUGGUGGCACACGCCUGUAAUCCCAGUGACCUGGGAGGCUGAGGCAGGAGGAUAAUGAGCUCAAAGUGAGAUGCUGAGCAACUCAGUGAGACCCUGUCUCUA
rnacentral:sRNA from 1 species